rnacentral:tRNA from 1 species
UCCCUGGUGGUCCAGUGGUUUAAAACUCUGCAUUUCCACUGCAGAGGGCACAGGUUCCAGCCCUGGUCAAGGAA